rnacentral:rRNA from 1 species
GGGGGGUGCGAGCGUUGUCCGGAAUCACUGGGCGUAAAGGGCGCGUAGGUGGUCUGAUAAGGGUGUGGUGAAAGCCCGGGGCUCAACCCCGGGUCUGCCGUGCCGACUGUCAGACUGGAGUGCUGUAGGGGCAGGCGGAAUUCCGGGUGUAGCGGUGGAAUGCGUAGAGAUCCGGAGGAAGACCGGUGGCGAAGGCGGCCUGCUGGGCAGUUACUGACACUGAGGCGCGACAGCGUGGGGAGCAAACAGGAUUAGAUACCCUGGUAGUCCACGCCGUAAACGAUGGGUACUAGGUGCCUGGGGGAGCGACCCCUUGGGUGCCGGCGCUAACGCAGGAAGUACCCCGCCUGGGGAGUACGGCCGCAAGGCUG